UAAGAGAAGGGGGUGAAAAGGGAAAAAACAGGAGUGUGCAGACAAAUUUUGCUUCUGAUAGCAGAUUGGGCCUAAGCCCAAGUGAAAAGGGGUGUGACCCAGCAAUUGGAGAGGUACAGGGAGUAACGCCCGUUAUCUUUUUGUUAUUUUUUAUCGUGGCCCAGCAAUGGCCUAGGCACCCCUCUCUCCCAAGGUCAGAAACCUUAGGGGUUCGAACCUCCUCACCCCAUUCUGCACUCCAACACCUCUGAGACUCCAAGUCUCUCUCCGCACCUACUUGCCUAGGGUUGGGGUCAUCUCCCCUGAACGCGUCAUGCCGCCGCUCCCCUCUGACAGCCACCGCGCCCAUCCGGCCAGCCUUGGCGGCGCCGGCGUUAUUGCUUCUGUCCGGCCAGCCACCGCGCCACCACUUUCUCUCUCCCUCUACGUAUCGCACAGCCAUCCACUGAGCCAACACCGCCGCGCGACCACGUUCCGCCAAGCUCUGGCCGUUAUCGGUGGCUCCGGUCACCGCAAGGAAUCCUACCGGCGUCAAGGCAACUCUCCCCUUAUUCGCCCUUUUCAUUCCGGGACAUCCUCUCCUCCAUUCAAUAUUCAAAUCGGGAUCUAGCAGUCACACCGCCGCCACUGCGCGUCCUCCGUUCAACCACAUUGCCGACCUCUGCAUCCUCCUUCCUCUCCGAAACGCGAGCUCUUUUUGACUGGGCGCGGGUUUUUCCGAUGGUGUAGGGAGUGUUGGGCUAUUGGCUUCGAUUGACGCAGUCGAAAGGUGAAAGGAACACACUGUGGUGUUCCUGUGUGAAUCUGUGUGAGUUGGGGAAUGAAGGUGACACACUGGUUGCGAUGCAGGGGUUUAUGGAGAAGAAUGGAGAUAAAUUUGGUUCUCUGUCCUUGCGUGUGUUUCUUUGUAGAUUGAAUGAAAAUGGAGACUGGUGUUGAGUGGUUGAUUCUUAUUUUGUAACUUUUUGCAGUGCAGGUUGAGGAUGAUGGUUUUAAGCGUGAAUGGAGUGGUUCUAGUGAAGACGAAGGGAAACGACAUGUAGUAGAAAUCAAGGUUGAUGGGGGGUUUGGUUGGGCCAUUUCGGCUUUGGUAAUGGAGAUAGGAAAAUGAAGAGAAUGAGGGUGUUCUGUAUGUUGUAGAGUAUGAAGAUGAGAUUAUGGAAGUAGUUGUGUUGAUGAAGAUUGGGCUGAGAUUAUUAAUAAAAGGCAAGAAAUGCGGCCGGAGGUCUCAGGUUGAAGAGGGAGGGUGAUUAUGCAUUGGUGGAUGAAAAAGGAGAGUACUCUCACAACAAUUCAAUCCCAAAUAGAACAAUAUCAUGUAUAAUAUGAAGCACAAUGCAGCAAGCUUACAUGAAGAUACAAGUGAACAAAGCAUACUUACUUCUUGAAGAGCCCUGUCAAAUGGUGAUUCAACGUAGAUUCUACAUCUUGGAACCAAGUCAAUUUUGGAGCAGCUUUGUGAUAAUGAAACCAACCAGCAAAAANCAUNAAGGCUGCAAAGACCAAUGCACCAAUUGCAGUACAAUAGAGUUGUAAUUCAUUAGUUAUUCCAGAUGCUCUCCAAAUCUGAAAAAAAUCAGAGGUUAUUUGUAUUCCUCGGAAUCUCCCUACAUCACCAUUCAAUAUUUCUUGACCCACUAUUGGCCGGUUGCCACCGUUAGCUCCUCUCUUCUUUUUACUGGCUUCGUUUUUCUUUUCCGUGGAUGUUGAAUAACUGCCACAAUAUCAAUUCCUCUCCUCUCUUGCUGGAGUGCAAGAAAGUCAUGCUGAGAGUGAGCAAUGGAAGUAGAUGAUUGGUUAAUGGUGGAGGUCAGAGGAGUCGAGAGCUCUCUUCUAAGCUGUGAUGGUGAGGUGUUCCUUCUCCCUUAAGGAGGAUGGCAAUGGAGAUUGGUCAGGUGAAUCAUGGAUCCGUUGGAGGUGAAGAAUUGGGAAUGCAAGGGAAAAUCUGGUUGGGGUGGUCACCGGUCAGAGAAGUAGUGUGUGAGUGAAUGAUAAUGGUGCUUCUGAAUCCCCUCUUCCCUUCUGUAUGAUCAGUCCGUAUCCCUUCUGACUUGGGAUUUCUUUUGUCUUUUUUUCCUUGUUAAUGGGAUCAAUCGGCGAAAACCGUUCAAAUUUCCUUUCCCUUUGAUGUAUGACACAGCUUUGCAUAGAGACUUUUUAGCAAGAGCAGCAAAGACGCUUUUUUACUGCCAUUGUAUGAGAUAUUUUGAGCAUUACUGUGUAAAUGUUGCAGGAGGGACAAGCCUCUAAUGUUAA